CUGGAUUCUUAGUGCAAAUCAAGCCUCCUGUACUGCUCUUGCUCAGUGAUAAGAGUACAAAUAGGGUGAGGGUGCAUUGGCAUUCUAGUUCAGCUCAGAAGUGCACUUCUGAAGCAAAUCUGAUUUCUCCCAUUUAUCGUGCUUUUUCUUGCACUACAGGUCAGAGCUUACAAAUUGGACUUUUGGGUGAAACCACCAUCAGAAGGGUACUCCAGUAUGACAGUUCCUGUGCUCUAACCAGUCUGCACAUGGGACCAGACUGAAAAACCCAACCACGCAUGCAGUGUGGAUGUGAGGUCCUCAUUACCAACUGUAGUUCUGCUCCCAUUCAGCUGUUUAUCUUUCUCAUGUAGCUACAGCCAUCUGAUACCCAGGAUCCAUCAGCAGCAACCCAUCAGUUAUGGAAAAGACACAAAAAUAUCAGAAAGAGGACUGGGCAAUACUGUGAAUUUCAAGUCUUUGACGAACCAUCUUUCAAGGACCUCUGAAGCCAGAGAUUACCCUGUAACGCCUUGUCGCGGUGGGCUGAUUCACUAUGAAAGAAGCUAUUUGGCUGCUCUGGUUGCAGGCUGCGUGGAUGCGUGGCUUUCAGUGGACUCUAUACUGAUGUUUAAUUCUCCCAUCAACCUCAGAGGUGGCCCAAGCCAUCUUCCUGCCUCCCCUGUUCCUGUGGGUAGCAUUGCUCUGAAUAAGGGUCUUGUAUAGACUGCAACAUCCAUGGGGCUCCUUUAAUUUUCAUCAUUAAAAUAGUAAUGAGGCUGACUCAGUCAUACUGGAGGCAAAGUCUGAUCCGCUUCUCUCUGUGCGGAGCCUGGAAAUGGCCGUGAGCGCCUACACAGUCUCCAGAUGGAUGACUGUUCUGCUGGCAAGAAGAAAUGACAACAGUAGCUGGUCUCCUGUUAAAUGGAGUCUUGACGUUACUGGCUAAUUUCAAGGGUUUAAACACGAUGCAUCACAGUUCAUCUGUACUCAAGCUGGUUGAGUCACUGUAACUCCAGUGACCUCCAUGGACCUCCUCCUUUUCUGCAACAUGCUUGGCCAACAACAACAGUGUUGUAAAUUCCUCAAGGGAAAGAAAAUGUCUCUCCUGCUAGCUGGUGAGCAGGUGCUUUGCGUUGUGGACUGAUGUUUACUGUAUGUUGGUACGAAUUUGAGGUCUGCUCAAUAUGGCGUGCUACCAAGGAAUACCAGCGAUAUCUGCAGAGAUAAUGACAGUUUUGGUGGAGAGAAGAUGGAAGCUGGGAUAUGUUUUACUGGAGUAUAGGCAGCUCACUAAUUCAUGCUGUACAGAAGCCACAACUCCUGCCUCACUGAUGAAGUAAAUGGAUUAAGGUGACAGCAUUUCCUCUGCAAAGGAUGGCCAAGGAACCAGCUCAUUAUGGAUGCGUCUUCAGGGGGAGUUUGUUCAUAGUUUCUGGUGAAUAAUGAGGAAGGAAGGAUCUCCUGAUCUGUAGCUGUCUGGGGAAAACCUUUUCUAGUAGAAUUUUUGAGCACGAUAUUAUCACAAGUCAUAUGCUGCUCUGAAGAAGCAUGGCUGCUCUGUCAGUUGGGAACUGCUCCCUUUCCAGUCUGCUGUCCAUUACAAAAUGAUGCCAGCCAAUUCCUUUUUGCGCAAGUGAAAUGUUUAUGCGCUGACUGAAAAAAAAACCCUGUCUGUGUACCAAGGUCAGGAUACGAUGUCCCAUUCUCUAUAGAGAUUAGCUCAUGUUACCUUGUUUCUGGAUACAGCCAUGUGAAAAGAGCUGCAGACUUUAUGAAGGCAUACAAUUUUAAUUAAAAAUUAUAAUGUGCUGAUAUCUUAUUAUAAUGCAAGUUGAGCUUGCAAAUUUUUGCAGAGUACCUAAAUUUAGGGACCAUUAUUUUUACUGCAACAUUUCUUGGACCUGCUAUGAUUAGUAAAUACUGGCUUGCAUAGAUGGUCAUUCAGAUUAAAGGCAUUGGGAUCAGAUGAGGAAAAAUUCACUGAACCCAUUUCGUACAACAUCAGACACCUCAGUCUUUACCAUCCAAAACAAAGGCACGGAGAUGUACUAGUCAUGACCCACUUAGCUGUUCUCUGUAGAUUUUUGUGUCGUCAUAAGAGAAGAACAGCAGAGAAGCUGAGAGUGAGGAAAUAGUCCAAACCGACUUGCGACAGAGCAAGUGUGGGAAGCUGAGCAGGAGGGCUGAACCAGAACCAGAGCUGUGCAAAAGAAACCACCUCCCAUGGCUUGACUACUCCUGGGCCCGGGGAACAGGACUUUUGUAGGCCUCGCAGCAGCGAUGGAGACUUGGGUUCUAAUCAAGAUAGCACAGCUAAACUGGUCUGAGUAACAGACAUACUGCAAAUGGAACACCAUCUUGGAUAAUGACUGUAGGUCCAAUGCUGACAUGUCAUACCUA